AUUCAUGUUCCAUCUAAAUGGUCCCAUGGAUGAUAUCUACUUCAUUAGAAUAGGUCCCAUGAUCUCUGCUUGGGCCCUGAUUAUAGGAUACCCCUUUUAACAUUUGGAUGCUACCCUGCUGAAAUUAUUUGCCUAAUCCUUCCUAACUUUAUUCAGAAUGUCUCAACUCCUUUCACUCCAGCUCCUUACCAAUCUCCCGUUGGAAGUUGGAACAACAAUCUUCCAACAAGCUCUUUUCUCAAACCUCCUCUAUGCUAAUUCACUAACAAUUGUCGCUACUCUACUGUCUGCCUGCAAGCAGUGUGAAAUACCAGACUUCGUUUAUCUGAUGGAUCCCUCUUCUACAUCAAGUUAACACUCAAGUUGCAGAGGAAAAUCAAAGAGGAGAAAAGACGAUGAUAGAGGAUAUUCUAAGCUGAUUAUGAUAAGAGACAGGUGAAAUACUCAUCCCUUCUACACAAGGACAAGGACGGACUAAGGAUGACAACCAAAACAUUUAUAUGUCCGUAGCGAAGACGAAGGGAAGCAACAAUGACUUUUUUUAUUUUGUUGCCACCGCUCAGAAGGAUGACUGUUAAACCAAAGACCAGUAUGGGUCGGACUCCUCUCGAUAAUGCACAGGAGGAUCCAUCCUGCAUUCCUUCAGAUUCUACUCCCAAGUAAUCCUUGAUGCAAAUAAUUUUCUUUUUUAUU